AGUGAACGCUGGCGGUAGGCCUAACACAUGCAAGUCGAACGGCAGCACAGAGGAGCUUGCUCCUUGGGUGGCGAGUGGCGGACGGGUGAGGAAUACAUCGGAAUCUACUCUGUCGUGGGGGAUAACGUAGGGAAACUUACGCUAAUAUCGCAUACGACCUACGGGUGAAAGCAGGGGAUCUUCGGACCUUGCGCGAUUGAAUGAGCCGAUGUCGGAUUAGCUAGUUGGCGGGGUAAAGGCCCACCAAGGCGACGAUCCGUAGCUGGUCUGAGAGGAGGAUCAGCCACACUGGAACGGAGACACGGUCCAGACUCCUACGGGAGGCAGCAGUGGGGAAUAUUGGACAAUGGGCGCAAGCCUGAUCCAGCCAUACCGCGUGGGUGAAGAAGGCCUUCGGGUUGUAAAGCCCUUUUGUUGGGAAAGAAAUCCAUCUGGUUAAUACCCGGGUGGGAUGACGGUACCCAAAGAAUAAGCACCGGCUAACUUCGUGCCAGCCGCCGCCGUAA
rnacentral:rRNA from 1 species